rnacentral:misc_RNA from 1 species
GAACGCACAUUGCGCCCUAUGGUAUUCCGUAGGGCAUGCCUGUCUGAGCGUCAGCUCCCCCCCAAUCAAGUAUCUGUUUUUCUGAUGCUUGGAAUGCUUUGGAGAGGUGUCUUGUUAUAGAGCCGCCCUCCAGAAAUUAAUAGGCAGUAUGGUUUGCACCUGAACCAAAUGUAAUAAUAAUAAAAUCGUUUGUUUGGGUAUGAUUGUGCUUGCCUUAACCCACCCAUUUUUUUUUCUUUGGGUGACCUCAGAUCAGGUAGGGAUACCCGCUGAACUUAAG